rnacentral:rRNA from 1 species
UACGGAGGAUGCAAGCGUUAUCCGGAUUUAUUGGGUUUAAAGGGUGCGCAGGUGGUUUAAUAAGUCAGUGGUGAAAGUCUGGCGCUUAACGUUAGGAUUGCCAUUGAUACUGCCGUUCUAGAGUACAGUUGGGGUGGGCGGAAUGUGUCAUGUAGCGGUGAAAUGCUUAGAUAUUACACAGAACACCGAUUGCGAAGGCAGCUUACUAAUCCAUCAUUGACGCUGAGGCACGAAAGCGUGGGGAUCAAACAGG